AUUGAACGCUGGCGGCAUGCCUUACACAUACAAGUCGAACGGUAACGGGCCUUCGGGUGCCGACGAGUGGCGAACGGGUGAGUAAUACAUCGGAACGUGCCCGAUCGUGGGGGAUAACGAGGCGAAAGCUUUGCUAAUACCGCAUUCGAACCACGGAUGAAAGCAGGGGACCGCAAGGCCUUGCGCGGACGGAGUUGCCGAUGGCAGAUUAGGUCGUUGGUGGGAUAAAGGCUUACCAAGCCGACGAUCUGUAGCUGAUCUGAGAGGAUGAACAGCCACACUGGGACGGAGACACGGCCCAGACUCCUACGGGAGGCAGCGGUGGGGAAUUUUGGACAAUGGGAGGAAGCCUGAUCCAGCCAUGCCGCGUGCAGGAUGAAGGCCUUCGGGUUGUAAACUGCUUUUGUACGGAACGAAAAGCAUUCUUUUAAUACAGGAGGGUCAUGACGGUACCGUAAGAAUAAGCACCGGCUAACUACGUG
rnacentral:rRNA from 1 species